rnacentral:rRNA from 1 species
AAAGCGUGCGCAGGCGGUUUUGUAAGACUGUCGUGAAAUCCCCGGGCUCAACCUGGGAAUGGCGAUGGUGACUGCAAGGCUAGAGUUUGGCAGAGGGGGGUAGAAUUCCACGUGUAGCAGUGAAAUGCGUAGAUAUGUGGAGGAACACCGAUGGCGAAGGCAAUCCCCUGGGCCUGCACUGACGCUCAUGCACGAAAGCGUGGGGAGCAAACAGGAUUAGAUACCCUGGU